rnacentral:ncRNA from 1 species
CAGUGGGAGAGUUCGACUGGUUUGUAUGCCUCAUCUGGUCGGCGCCGAAGGAGCAACCGCCCCGGGAAACUCUCAGGCCCCAGGACCGCAGGGA